rnacentral:rRNA from 1 species
GUCUACGUCCACACCACCCUGAACGCGCCCGAUCUCGUCUGAUCUCAGAAGCUAAGCAGGGUCGGGCCUGGUUAGUACUUGGAUGGGAGUAGCAUGGAUCGAACAGA